rnacentral:rRNA from 1 species
AGGGUUCGAUUCUGGCUCAGGAUGAACGCUGGCGGCGUGCUUAACACAUGCAAGUCGAACGAAGCCAAAAGGAAGCUUGCUUCUUGAAGCUUAGCGGCGGACGGGUGAGUAACGCGUGAGUAACCUGCCCUUAAGUGGGGAAUAACACAGAGAAAUCUGUGCUAAUACCGCAUAAUGUCGGAGAGCCGCAUGACUUUCCGACCAAAGGAUUUAUUCGCUUAAGGAUGGACUCGCGUCCGAUUAGCUAGUUGGUGAGGUAACGGCCCACCAAGGCGACGAUCGGUAGCCGAACUGAGAGGUUGAUCGGCCACAUUGGGACUGAGACACGGCCCAGACUCCUACGGGAGGCAGCAGUGGGGAAUAUUGGGCAAUGGGCGAAAAAGCCUGACCCAGCAACGCCGCGUGAAGGAAGACGGUCUUCGGAUUGUAAACUUCUUUGAUUGGGGAAGAACAAAAUGACCUACCCAAAGAACAAGUCACGGCUAACUACGUGCCAGCCGCGGC